rnacentral:rRNA from 1 species
UACGUAGGGGGCAAGCGUUGUCCGGAAUCAUUGGGCGUAAAGAGCGCGUAGGCGGUCCGGUAAGUCCGCUCUGAAAGUCCGGGGCUCAACCCCGGGAGGCGGGCGGAUACUGUCGGGCUAGAGUCCGGAAGAGGCGAGUGGAAUUCCUGGUGUAGCGGUGAAAUGCGCAGAUAUCAGGAGGAACACCAAUGGCGAAGGCAGCUCGCUGGGACGGCUACUGACGCUGAGGCGCGAAAGCGUGGGGAGCAAACAGG